rnacentral:rRNA from 1 species
UACGUAGGGUGCAAGCGUUAUUCGGAUUCACUGGGCGUAAAGGGUGCGCAGGCGGCCAAGUGUGUGAGGCGUGAAAGCCCGGGGCUUAACCUCGGAGUUGCACCUCAAACUACAUGGCUAGAGCAUUGGAGAGGGUAGCAGAAUUCAUGGUGUAGCAGUGAAAUGCGUAGAUAUCAUGAGGAAUACCAGAGGCGAAGGCGGCUACCUGGACAAUUGCUGACGCUCAGGCACGAAAGCGUGGGGAGCAAAAGGG